rnacentral:tRNA from 1 species
UGGGGAAUCGUCUAACGGCAGGACCUUGGAUUCUGAUUCCAAGUAUCUAGGUUCGAAUCCUAGUUCCCCAACCA